rnacentral:rRNA from 1 species
CCUACGGGAGGCAGCAGUGGGGAAUAUUGCACAAUGGGGGAAACCCUGAUGCAGCGACGCCGCGUGAGCGAUGAAGUAUUUCGGUAUGUAAAGCUCUAUCAGCAGGGAAGAAAAUGACGGUACCUGACUAAGAAGCCCCGGCUAACUACGUGCCAGCAGCCGCGGUAAUACGUAGGGGGCAAGCGUUAUCCGGAUUUACUGGGUGUAAAGGGAGCGUAGACGGUCCUGCAAGCCAGAUGUGAAAGCCCGGGGCUCAACCCCGGGACUGCAUUUGGAACUGUAAGGCUAGAGUGUCGGAGAGGCAGGCGGAAUUCCUAGUGUAGCGGUGAAAUGCGUAGAUAUUAGGAGGAACACCAGUGGCGAAGGCGGCCUGCUGGACGAUGACUGACGUUGAGGCUCGAAAGCGUGGGGAGCAAACAGGAUUAGAUACCCGAGUAGU